UACAGAGGUCCCAAGCGUUGUCCGGAAUUAUUGGGCGUAAAGAGCUCGUAGGCGGUUUGUUGCGUCGGCUGUGAAAUCCCGAGGCUCAACCUCGGGUCUGCAGUCGAUACGAGCAAACUAGAGUGUUGCAGGGGAGACUGGAAUUCCUGGUGUAGCGGUGAAAUGCGCAGAUAUCAGGAGGAACACCGGUGGCGAAGGCGGGUCUCUGGGCAACAACUGACGCUGAGGUGCGAAAGCGUGGGGAGCAAACAGG
rnacentral:rRNA from 1 species